GACGAACCGUGCGAACGUUGUUCGGAAUCACUGGGCUUAAAGGGCGCGUAGGCGGGCUGUCAAGUCUGGGGUGAAAUGCCGCGGCUCAACCGUGGAACUGCCUCAGAUACUGACGGCCUCGAGGGAGGUAGGGGCGUGCGGAACUGUAGGUGGAGCGGUGAAAUGCGUUGAUAUCUACAGGAACUCCGGUGGCGAAAGCGGCGCGCUGGACCUCUUCUGACGCUGAGGUGCGAAAGCGUGGGGAGCAAACAGG
rnacentral:rRNA from 1 species